ACUAUAUUAGCAUAUACAAUGCACUAAGCUUAGAACUUAACUAAGUAGUUAUAAUUCUACAUUUAGUA
rnacentral:tRNA from 1 species